rnacentral:rRNA from 1 species
UACGUAGGGUGCAAGCGUUAAUCGGAAUUACUGGGCGUAAAGCGUGCGCAGGCGGUUUUGUAAGUUUGUCGUGAAAUCCCCGGGCUUAACCUGGGAACUGCAUUUGUGGCUGCAUGGCUGGAGUGCGGCAGAGGGGGAUGGAGUUCCGCGUGUAGCAGUGAAAUGCGUAGAUAUGCGGAGGAGCACCGAUGGCGAAGGCAAUCCCCUGGGCCUGCACUGACGCUCAUGCACGAAAGCGUGGGGAGCAAACAGG